rnacentral:tRNA from 1 species
AGCUUAGUGGCAGAGCGUUUGCUUUGUAAGCAGAAGGUCGUCAGUCCGAUCCUGGCAAGGUGGC